GAAUAUUCGCCCAUCGUCUUCUUCUCUUUUCCCUUCUUCCUUUUCCCUUCUUCUAAACACCAUCUUUUAAACACAUCGACAUGUAACCAAAAUCAGCCGCCAUCGUCACCGAUCCGAAACUUGUUUAACUGAUUCAUAUUCAAAACACAUCACACAAUGGAAGUAAAUCCCUUUUUUUUUCGUUUAAUUUUAUAUUUCUGGUACGAGUUUUUUUAUUGUAAGUGUGACAAAAAAUAUUUGGAUAGAGAAAAUGGACAAAACCAUAUAUCUAUGAAGGUUUUUUUUUUUUUAAAUUAUAUGAUACUAGUUUAUCUGCUACAUUUGAGUCUUCAGAUUUUGGGAUUUUUUAUUCAUUUAUUUUUGAAUUAAUCAGGAAUAGACAAGGCAAUGAAACAUUAGAGAACUCUAAUCAGGGCGCUAAGAAGUUUUUGAAGAUCUAAUCGAUGUUCAAGUUCAAGUAAUUAAACAAUUAAGCAAGAUUUGCCAAUCAAUCUUUUCACUCCGAGUCUAAUCGUUCAAGAGCAAUCUCUAUUCAAGGAACCGUUCCAGAUCCAGAGCAACAACAAGUAAUAUUAGGAUUGGGAUCAAAAUUUAUUUCCAAUGCUAGUAUGCUUCAUGAUUAAAGAAAUCAAUUUAGAUCCAAAAUGUAUGAAUGUUUAGUUGUACAGCAUUUGGAUGUGUUGAGUAUUCAAUGUACCAGGUUUACUGCUUAUUUGUACGUACUCACUAUAUGUAUAAUUUGUAAUCUUGGUUACUGGAAAUUCUAUGAUGAUUUUCUCAUUUGUGUUA